CCUAACCAAGCUUUCAAGCAAGGAGGCAAGGCAGAGGAAUGAAAGCAACAACGCAAAUGCAAAUGAGCCAUUUACUCUGUUGGCAGAGGAGAGCUGGUCUUCUGCAGAGCCUUCCUUGGUGGCAAGAUAAACCCUCCCAGAGGCUGGAGAAGAUACGCUGAAGGCUCCUUGAAGGAUCCUGAAUGAGCAUGUCAAUGUGAAAAACAUCUGCCGCUGCCUCAGAUACUGUUGCUGUCAAUAGUCCUCCGGCAAUUAUAUCUGCCAGCUCAGGAAUUCACCUUUGCUACUGUUGGGAGUCUCUGUCACUGUUUUAAUUGGAUCAUUUGAAUCUGUUUCUGCUAUAGCAGAAAUGGCACAGCAAAGGCCUCCAUAUCAGCAGACGGUAUCCAGUGUCAGCAAGUCCUGGGAUUCUACAUGGAGCAAUUAGGAGGCAGUUUGUUGGUGCUGGGUACCCAGCACUGAUUCCUGCAGCAGUGGUGUACCCACUGGAGAUUUAUCAACAAAGGACUGACCAAGCUCAACCUGUCUUCACUUAUGAUAUCUGACAAGAACACGGCUGGAGGUAAUUCAACUCCCGGCAAUUACAAUAGCUCUAAUCUGCCUUCCUGUACACAGCAUAUGUUAUCUCCUAAA